GAAGUAGUCCCUCCGUUCGGAAAUACUUGUCAUCAAAAUGAAUAAAAGGGAGCGUAUUUAGACAUAUUUUAAUUCUAGAUACAUCUCUUUUGUUUCAUUUUGAUGAUAAGUAUUUUCGGACGGAGGGAAUAGGAG
rfam:Triticum aestivum genome assembly, contig: Triticum_aestivum_CS42_TGACv1_scaffold_645547_T_1BL-0.143935_3DS-0.090769